CAAUAGCGAAAAGCUAGCGCUUAAUCUCGCAAGGUACAGGUACAGCAGCUACGCAUCGCUCUGAGAGCGCUCCCAAAGAACAAAGAGAAGAUUUUUCCCUACUACGUUCCCAGUGUCACUGCAUUACUACAGAUGCUGUGCGAGGAGGUGAAAGGCGCACCACGGUAAAAGGACGGGAACUGAAAGCUGUCGGCGCAGCGCAGUGACGCCUGCGGGCAGAAGAGCAGCGGCUGAGGGCGGGAGGGCUGGCUCUGCGGGCAGACGGGGGAAGCGCGAGAGAGGAAGAGCAGACUGAAAUACUGUUCACUAACCUAGCAUGGGACCAGAUGUAACAGAGAGCUGACAGAAAAAUGUAUUGUUGCCUCCAAGUCAACUAUUUAGCUUCUGAAAAUGCCUUGACAAGAGUGGACUUCGAAUAUGAAGAUAGCCCAUGAAAUCAAAUACUUAUAACGGAGCUGGGAAGUUUGACCUAUUUUUCCCUCCAGGUGACAACAGGAACGCUAAAGGCAACCAGAAGUACUACACACAAGACAGAAACAUACUCUACUACUUUUCAGUUCUGAGGCUUGAAAAGAAUGUUACUUCAUUUGCUGCAGUACUAAAUAAUAUAACCCAGGGAUUUAAUAUUUUUUUUUCCUGACAGCUUUAUUGACUUUAUCUUAAACAUCUGAAUGUGUACCUGAGAUUCACGCAUUUUAAAGGUUACCUGGUUUUCAAAAGAAAUGAGGUACUCCUCAGGUAGUCAAAACAGCCAUUAUAUUCCAGAACAAAGCACAGGUUUAGACUUUUCUGAGUUUGCCUGUUUUAAAUAAACUUAACAAAUUUACUCAUAAUAAGCAGCUUUAAUUACAGUUUGUAUUGACCAUAUAUGCUAUGUUCUUUCCACUUGCUACUACGCUCCCAUGAGAUUAUCUAGGCAUUUUUUUGGUGGUUUUUUUUUUUGGUUGGUUGUUUUUUUUUGUUAACAGAAACAGGCAGUGAGUUUCCAGCCUGAACGAAUUCGUGUUUUAAACAAAGUUAAAUUAAAAAGGUACAACCCUAGUUCGUCUUUGUUAUCCUCCUACGGAAACACUGGUUUCCUUUGAUAUUCAUAAACAGUAAGUAGACUGGAAUAAAGAACAGGUAUGGGGAAACAAAUGC